rnacentral:rRNA from 1 species
UACGUAGGGUGCAAGCGUUAUUCGGAAUUACUGGGCGUAAAGCGUGCGCAGGCGGUUGUGCAAGACAGAUGUGAAAUCCCCGGGCUCAACCUGGGAACUGCAUUUGUGACUGCACGGCUGGAGUGCGGCAGAGGGGGAUGGAAUUCCGCGUGUAGCAGUGAAAUGCGUAGAUAUGCGGAGGAACACCGAUGGCGAAGGCAAUCCCCUGGGCCUGCACUGACGCUCAUGCACGAAAGCGUGGGGAGCAAACAGG